UUUUGCCCUAGGAAACUUUAGAAGCCCUCCCACUCACUCUGGGAUGGGACAAUUGAUGGUGUCAGAAAGUGGGAUUCCUUUGGCAAAAA